rnacentral:misc_RNA from 1 species
GAUGAAGAACGUAGCGAAAUGCGAUACGUAAUGUGAAUUGCAGAAUUCAGUGAAUCAUCGAGUCUUUGAACGCACAUUGCGCCCUGUGGUAUUCCGCAGGGCAUGCCUGUUCGAGCGUCAUUUCAACCCUCAAGCCUCGCUUGGUGUUGGGCCCUGCCCGCCGCGGCCGGCCCUAAAGAUAGUGGCGGCGCCGCCUGGCCCUCAGCGUAGUACAGCUCUCGCUCCAGGGUCCGGCGGCAGCCUGCCAGAACCCCCCAACUCUGUGGUUGACCUCGGAUCAGGUAGGGAUACCCGCUGAACUUAAGCAUAUCAAUAAGCGGAGGA